AGCGAACGCUGGCGGCAGGCCUAACACAUGCAAGUCGAACGGAUCCUUCGGGAUUAGUGGCGGACGGGUGAGUAACACGUGGGAACGUGCCCUUUGGUUCGGAACAACUCAGGGAAACUUGAGCUAAUACCGGAUGUGCCCUUCGGGGAAGAUUAUCGCCAUUGGAGCGGCCCGCGUCUGAUUAGCUAGUUGGUGAGGUAAAGGCUCACCAAGGCGACGAUCAGUAGCUGGUCUGAGAGGAUGAUCAGCCACAUUGGGACUGAGACACGGCCCAAACUCCUACGGAAGGCAGCAGUGGGGAAUCUUGCGCAAUGGGCGAAAGCCUGACGCAGCCAUGCCGCGUGAAUGAUGAAGGUCUUAGGAUUGUAAAAUUACUUUCACCGGGGACGAUAAUGACGGUACCCGGAGAAGAAGCCCGGCUAACUUCGUGCCAGCAGCCGCGGUAAU
rnacentral:rRNA from 1 species